AUCCAGUUGACGAGUUCCAAAUAGGACGAAACGCGUGUUUUGAAU
rfam:Schistosoma mattheei strain Denwood, Zambia genome assembly, scaffold: SMTD_scaffold0003921